GGGAGAAAUGAAUGAGUUUCCUCUGAAAAGAGACAGCACUACUGCUUUGAUGCGCUUUCAAAUGCGUUUAUGAUGUGGAUUAGUCAGACAAUGUGUUCCAGAUUGUUCCCGGGACUCCACUGUGUCUGUGUGCAUGUGUGUGUGCGUGCGUGUGUGAUCUCUAAAUGCAAUGAAGCUGCGCUUUGAGGGGGAGAAAGCCGUGGCUUGUAUGAGGGCUGUGAGGGUGGGGUAAUUGACUGCAGAAAUGAAAGGAAAAAUGUGAGUGCGAGGAGCGGGGCCAAGAGGAAAAAGACGAGAAGGAAAAGCUUCUGAAAGAAUGUGAGCUAUGUAAGAGACCACAGACAGACAGAGAGAUACACAAACAGAUUGGUAGAUGUGGCACCUCUGCCGCUCCUGCCCACGAAGCGCAGGUCGUUGAAUCGUGCCACCUGGUUCUUCAUGACGGCAGACGCGUUUCUCAGCUCCGCGGAAUAAUU